rnacentral:rRNA from 1 species
UACGUAGGGUGCAAGCGUUAAUCGGAAUUACUGGGCGUAAAGCGUGCGCAGGCGGUUAUGCAAGACAGAUGUGAAAUCCCCGGGCUCAACCUGGGAACUGCAUCCGAAACUGCCUUGCUCGAGUAUGGGAGAGGGAAGUGGAAUUUCCGGUGUAGCGGUGAAAUGCGUAGAUAUCGGAAAGAACAUCAGUGGCGAAGGCGACUUCCUGGACCAAUACUGACGCUCAGGUGCGAAAGCGUGGGGAGCAAACAGG